AGAAUAAAAAAAAAAAUAGCCGCUAACUAUUAAUAAGUGAUAAAACCUCACUUUAUUCUU
rnacentral:tRNA from 1 species